GACGAACCGUGCGAACGUUAUUCGGAAUCACUGGGCUUAAAGGGCGCGUAGGCGGGCGGCCAAGUCAGGGGUGAAAGCCCCCAGCUCAACUGGGGAAGUGCCUUUGAUACUGGUUGUCUCGAGGGAGGUAGGGGCGUGCGGAACUUCCGGUGGAGCGGUGAAAUGCGUAGAUAUCGGAAGGAACGCCGGUGGCGAAAGCGGCGCGCUGGACCUCUUCUGACGCUGAGGCGCGAAAGCUAGGGGAGCAAACAGG
rnacentral:rRNA from 1 species